GAAGUGGGAAGAAGCUGGAGAGAGGGAGGUCAGGAAGAGAACAUGGAGGCAAGAGCAGAGGCUGACAACUACAAGGACCCUUUUGAGCAAGAGAUUAUAUAUCAUACCAUAGAAAUACAUAAAAGACAAAUUAUCCCUGAGAUCAUCACGCCUCCAUUGACCUGCUCAAGGUUUAAAGCCAGCUGCAAUUAGAUGCCGCGGUCACAGAUCUGCCGACGGCUUAGAGCGCCUGCAUGUACUUUAAUCCUGCAGAAAUGGAACCAGGGUGGAUUUUGCAGGCAUGUACUUCGCUUAAGUUUCAAUUCCGUGGGUCUGAUUCAGAGUUGUGGGAGUUCGGUAAUUUGCUUUUGUUAACAAGAUCCUUCUCCUCGGUUUCUGCAGUGUUUACAAUAUGAGAUCUAAUUUGGGCUUAAAAUACUCAUGAAAAUUAACUGCAUUACUUUUGAAAACGCAGUCAGGAAGAGAUGGAGAGGGAAAACGAUGUGACACGCCACCAACUUACCACGUUUGCACAUUCGCCAGCUGCUGUGACAGGACUCUCACGGACGGACGGCGCUCAGCCCAUCGGUCAGGCCUGACUCUCAGACACAGCGACAGAUUAAGAAAUCUAUUUCACCGUUCAUUGUAAUAAGAGGAAUUGAAAAUCUAUCUGUGAUGG